GAUGAACGCUAGCGGGAGGCUUAACACAUGCAAGUCGAGGGGCAUCGCGGUGCAGCAAUGCACUGGCGGCGACCGGCGUACGGGUGCGUAACGCGUAUGCAACCUGCCCCGCACCGGGGGAUAGCCCGCCGAAAGGCGGAUUAAUACCCCAUGGUCCCGGGGGCCCGCAUGGGCAUCCGGGUAAAGCCUUGGCGGUGCGGGAUGGGCAUGCGUGCCAUUAGCUGGCUGGUGGGUAACGGCCCACCAGGGCAACGAUGGCUAGGGGGUCUGAGAGGAUGGUCCCCCACACUGGUACUGAGACACGGACCAGACUCCUACGGGAGGCAGCAGUGAGGAAUAUUGGUCAAUGGGCGGAAGCCUGAACCAGCCAUGCCGCGUGCGGGAUGAAGGCCCUACGGGUUGUAAACCGCUUUUCCCCGGGAAGAACUAACGCCCCCGCGGGGGUGAGUGCCGGUACCGGGGAAUAAGGAUCGGCUAACUCCGUG
rnacentral:rRNA from 1 species